AACAGGAUUAGAUACCCUGGUAGUCCACGCCGUAAACGUUGGGCGCUAGAUGCAGGGACCUUUCCACGGUUUCUGUGUCGUAGCUAACGCAUUAAGCGCCCCGCCUGGGGAGUACGGCCGCAAGGCUAAAACUCGAAGGAAUUGACGGGGGCCCGCACAAGCGGCGGAGCAUGCGGAUUAAUUCGAUGCAACGCGAAGAACCUUACCAAGGCUUGACAUACACCGGAAACGGCCAGAGAUGGUCGCCCCCUUGUGGCCGGUGUACAGGUGGUGCAUGGUUGUCGUCAGCUCGUGUCGUGAGAUGUUGGGUUAAGUCCCGCAACGAGCGCAACCCUCGUUCUAUGUUGCCAGCGCGUUAUGGCGGGGACUCAUAGGAGACUGCUGGGGUCAACUCGGAGGAAGGUGGGGAUGACGUCAAAUCAUCAUGCCCCUUAUGUCUUGGGCUUCACGCAUGCUACAAUGGCCGGUACAAAGGGCUGCGAUACCGUAAGGUGGAGCGAAUCCCAAAAAGCCGGUCUCAGUUCGGAUUGAGGUCUGCAACUCGACCUCAUGAAGUCGGAGUCGCUAGUAAUCGCAGAUCAGCAACGCUGCGGUGAAUACGUUCCCGGGCCUUGUACACACCGCCCGUCAAGUCAUGAAAGUCGGUAACACCCGAAGCCGGUGGCCUAACCCUUGUGGAAGGAGCCGUCGAAGGUGGGAUCGGUGAUUAGGACUAAGUCGUAACAAGGUAACC
rnacentral:rRNA from 1 species